UAACGGGGCUAAACCAUGCACCGAAGCUGCGGCAGCGAACGUAUCACCCAAGACAACUUUGCGGAGUUGACGAUUGACGGAGCGAAGCGACGUCAAAGCGUUCAUUAAAGUCGAGUUGGCUUAGGGAUACGUUCGUUGGGUAGGGGAGCGUUCUGUAAGCCUGUGAAGGUGUGCUGUGAGGCAUGCUGGAGGUAUCAGAAGUGCGAAUGCUGACAUAAGUAACGAUAAAGCGGGUGAAAAGCCCGCUCGCCGGAAGACCAAGGGUUCCUGUCCAACGUUAAUCGGGGCAGGGUGAGUCGACCCCUAAGGCGAGGCCGAAAGGCGUAGUCGAUGGGAAACGGGUUAAUAUUCCCGUACUUGGUGUUACUGCGAAGGGGGGACGGAGAAGGCUAUGUUGGCCGGGCGACGGUUGUCCCGGUUUAAGCGUGUAGGUGUGUGUUCCAGGUAAAUCCGGUUCACUUUAACANNNCUGAGGCGUGACGACGAGGCACUACGGUGCUGAAGCAACAAAUGCCCUGCUUCCAGGAAAAGCCUCUAAGCAUCAGGUAACAUCAAAUCGUACCCCAAACCGACACAGGUGGUCAGGUAGAGAAUACCAAGGCGCUUGAGAGAACUCGGGUGAAGGAACUAGGCAAAAUGGUGCCGUAACUUCGGGAGAAGGCACGCUGACAUGUAGGUGAAGUGAUUUACUCAUGGAGCUGAAGUCAGUCGAAGAUACCAGCUGGCUGCAACUGUUUAUUAAAAACACAGCACUGUGCAAACACGAAAGUGGACGUAUACGGUGUGACGCCUGCCCGGUGCCGGAAGGUUAAUUGAUGGGGUCAGCGCAAGCGAAGCUCCUGAUCGAAGCCCCGGUAAACGGCGGCCGUAACUAUAACGGUCCUAAGGUAGCGAAAUUCCUUGUCGGGUAAGUUCCGACCUGCACGAAUGGCGUAAUGAUGGCCAGGCUGUCUCCACCCGAGACUCAGUGAAAUUGAACUCGCUGUGAAGAUGCAGUGUACCCGCGGCAAGACGGAAAGACCCCGUGAACCUUUACUAUAGCUUGACACUGAACAUUGAGCCUUGAUGUGUAGGAUAGGUGGGAGGCUUUGAAGUGUGGACGCCAGUCUGCGUGGAGCCGACCUUGAAAUACCACCCUUUAAUGUUUGAUGUUCUAACGUGGACCCGUAAUCCGGGUUGCGGACAGUGUCUGGUGGGUAGUUUGACUGGGGCGGUCUCCUCCUAAAGAGUAACGGAGGAGCACGAAGGUUGGCUAAUCCUGGUCGGACAUCAGGAGGUUAGUGCAAUGGCAUAAGCCAGCUUGACUGCGAGCGUGACGGCGCGAGCAGGUGCGAAAGCAGGUCAUAGUGAUCCGGUGGUUCUGAAUGGAAGGGCCAUCGCUCAACGGAUAAAAGGUACUCCGGGGAUAACAGGCUGAUACCGCCCAAGAGUUCAUAUCGACGGCGGUGUUUGGCACCUCGAUGUCGGCUCAUCACAUCCUGGGGCUGAAGUAGGUCCCAAGGGUAUGGCUGUUCGCCAUUUAAAGUGGUACGCGAGCUGGGUUUAGAACGUCGUGAGACAGUUCGGUCCCUAUCUGCCGUGGGCGCUGGAGAACUGAGGGGGGCUGCUCCUAGUACGAGAGGACCGGAGUGGACGCAUCACUGGUGUUCGGGUUGUCAUGCCAAUGGCACUGCCCGGUAGCUAAAUGCGGAAGAGAUAAGUGCUGAAAGCAUCUAAGCACGAAACUUGCCCCGAGAUGAGUUCUCCCUGAGACUU
rnacentral:rRNA from 1 species